UACGUAGGCAGCGAGCGUUGUUCGGAAUUACUGGGCGUAAAGAGUGUGUAGGCGGCGCUCUAAGUUCGGUGUGAAAUCUCUCGGCUUAACUGGGAGGGUGCGCCGGAAACUGGAGUGCUCGAACGUGGGAGAGGAAAGCGGAAUUCCUGGUGUAGCGGUGAAAUGCGUAGAUAUCAGGAGGAACACCUGCGGUGUAGACGGCUUUCUGGACCAUUGUUGACGCUGAGACACGAAGGCGUGGGUAGCAAACAGG
rnacentral:rRNA from 1 species